CCACGGAAACCCAGGCUCCAGAGUUUUGCGGUUGCAGAGAAGGUCCAGUUGGCUAUGCGCCUCUAACUGAGGGACCUCACCUGUCUGGGAAGGGACGUCAAAGAACCUUCCCUCAGCAAAUGAUGUUCGAAGCACUGCUUUCAAGUGGGAAUAGCGAGAGAGUUCUCAUGGAAAAGGCUGUUGUGGGAAGAGAGAUGACAGUGGAAUGAAGCCUUCAGACAAACUGGCACAGGAGAGAGACAGCGUGAGCAGGAGAGGGUCAGAGAGAGAUG